ACCGAAGCUGGAAAAAUUCCAUGUGAUACCAUCCCCUCCGCCAUGUGGACUCUUUCAUCCCCGUAGAAGUUUGGAUUGGUCGUCAGUGCACAAUAUGGACCCUACACCAGCAACUGCGGCCCCCGCUCUAACGGACCUGCCCCUCUGGGGCCCCUCGACCUCCCGGAGUGACCCGACAGGGGCGUCUGGCCCGCAACAAGAACUAAGGUGGUAAAUUCUCCUUCGGCUGCUGCAGCUCUCCAGCCCAGGGCGUUGACUGGCUAGUCUUCAAUUGCCUCCCAACAUGGUAAUGAGGUCCUGAGCUGAUGUGAUCUGUGGCGAAGAGUGAAAGUUGCCUGAAGUAGCGUAUGGCACCCUUUCUAACCAGCAGCUGGCACCAACUUUGGGCAACAUCAGAGUGGACAAGGCCCAGAUCCUGUGGGAGACCUUCUACACUAACAUGUUAAAGGUUGUGGAGGGUCCUUCGAAACAACUUCAGGAACAGCGUACAGAAAAAUUGCCUCUAGUGAUGCUACAGGAAGUAGCAUGUUGUAUGUCGGAAAUAUAGAGGGCAAAAAAUAUGGAUUGGAAGUCUAGAACGUCAUCCUAGACUUUGAAGGUGUUGAUUGUUUGACAUUCAGAAUCAGCCAAGUGGUUCUAAUGAAGAUUACAAUGGUAUCAAAGUGACUGGCUAAAGUGUGGCUGUUCUAAUGUGCACAUCUAUAAAGCUGGCUGUGAAGGGUCCUUCUAACAUCAGGAACUGAGUACAAAGAAAUUGCUGGUAGUAGCAUGGUUUUGUCAGAAUUAGAGGGCAAAACUAUAGAUUAGGAAGUCCAGAACAUCCUAGAGUUUGAAGGUGUUGAUUGCUCGACAUUCAGAAUCGGGUGCUUUGCUAGAUUAUAGUGGUAUCAAAGCAGCGCGUGGCUGUUCUGCUCGGCACAUCUAUGGAGCUGGUUGUGGAGGGUCCUUGUAUGCUACAGAAAGUAGCACGGGCUGAGCAGACAGCACACUGGAGAUGUGGUCUCGGGUUGAAUCCUGGGUGCUGGCAAGAAAUGCUGGGCUGAGUUUCUCGCCCUAUGCCCCUAAUAAGAAUUGGGAAGUCCAGAUGUUCAUCCUAGAGUUUGAAGGUGUUGAUUGCUUGACAUUCAGAAUGGGGUGGUAAUGAAGAUUAUGAUGGCAUCUAGGAAUUGACUGGCUUAAGAAGUGUGGCUGUUCUACUCUGCACAUUCCAAUAAACUGGUGGUUGUUGUCCUUGGUACUCUGGAUGUUUUCCUGGCCUUUGAAGUCUUCAGUUGAAACCUCAACCUGAAACAUACAAUUGUCAACAUUAGUUAUAUUGUAUACUAUUUAAUAAAUCUUUUAAUGAAAA